rnacentral:rRNA from 1 species
GACGAACGCUGGCGGCGUGCUUAACACAUGCAAGUCGAGCGGUAAGGCCCUUUCGGGGGUACACGAGCGGCGAACGGGUGAGUAACACGUGGGUGACCUGCCCUUAGCUCUGGGAUAAGCCUGGGAAACUGGGUCUAAUACCGGAUAUGACUCCAUGACGCAUGUUGUGGGGUGGAAAGCCUUGUGCGGCUAGGGAUGGGCCCGCGGCCUAUCAGCUUGUUGGUGGGGUGAUGGCCUACCAAGGCGACGACGGGUAGCCGGCCUGAGAGGGCGACCGGCCACACUGGGACUGAGACACGGCCCAGACUCCUACGGGAGGCAGCAGUGGGGAAUCUUGCGCAAUGGGCGAAAGCCUGACGCAGCGACGCCGCGUGAGGGAUGACGGCCUCGGUUGUAA